rnacentral:rRNA from 1 species
CCUCGGAUCAGGAGAAUAACUGUCUAC